rnacentral:rRNA from 1 species
CCUACGGGAGGCAGCAGUGGGGAAUAUUGCACAAUGGGGGAAACCCUGAUGCAGCGACGCCGCGUGAGGGAAGAAGUAAUUCGGUAUGUAAAGCUCUUUCAGCAGGGGAGAAAAUGACGGUACCUGAGUAAGAAGCAGCGGCUAACUACGUGCCAGCAGCCGCGGUAAUACGUAGGGGGCAAGCGUUAUCCGGAUUUACUGGGUGUAAAGGGAGCGUAGACGGGAGUGCAAGUCUGGAGUGAAAGGCGGGGGCUCAACCCCCGGACUGCUCUGGAAACUGCACGGCUGGAGUGCAGGAGAGGUAAGUGGAAUUCCUGGUGUAGCGGUGAAAUGCGUAGAUAUUAGGAGGAACCCCAGUGGCGAAGGCAGCUUACUGGACUGUAACUGACGUUGAGGCUCGAAAGCGUGGGGAGCAAACAGGAUUAGAUACCCCUGUAGUC